rnacentral:lncRNA from 1 species
AAAAAUGCUCUAAAUUCAUUUGAUGGUCCACGUGAAUGCCAACUUUUUUGUACAAAUAUUAUAAGUCGGUACAAAUUAGAUAUUGCCAACACUUUUACUAUUUGAAAUUAUAAUUAUUGAAUUUUUGUAGAAGUUGCAUUGAUUAUUUUGUAAUUGUUUGAUUUUGCGAGAUGUAACUCUAUUGACAAUUAGAUCCGAUUGGAUGGACCAUGCAAGUAGGGAUGCCUUGGCCGAACUACUUUCAAAUACAUCUUUUCACACCUCCAAAUAUUGAGGUACAGAAAAGUAUUUUAAAUUUCAUAAGAUGGACAACGUGAAUGCCACCUUCUUCGUGCAAGUUUUGUAAGUCGGUACCAAUUGGUUAUUGCUAUGUGUGAUACUUGAGUAUUUCAAAUUAUAAUUAUUGAAUUUUUGUAGAAGUACAAUCGAUAGUCUCUUAAAUGUUUGGUUUUGCAAUGUGUCACUUUAUUGACUAUCGGACUCGAUUUGAUGGACCAAGCUAGUAGGGAUGCAUGGGCCCAAGUACUCUCGAAUACGUCUUUCUACACUUAUAAGUAUUGAGGUACGAAAAAAUACUUUAAAUUUCAUUGUAUGGACAAUGUAAAUGCCACCUUCUUGGACUAACUUUUAUAAGUCUGUACCACUUAGUUAUUGCCAUAUGUGAUACUUUGACUAUUUUAAAUUAUAAAUAUUGAAUUUUUGUAGAAUCAGCAUUAAUAGUUUUGUAAGUAUUUGGUUUUGCAAGGUGUAACUCUUCUAACAAUCGAACAAGAUUGGAUGGACCAAGCUAGUAUGGAUGCCUAGGCCCAAGUACUCUUGAAUACGUGUACCCACAUUUCUAAAUACUGAGGUACGAAAAAAUACUUUAAAUUUCAAUGGAUGGAGCACAUGAAAGCGACCUUCUUCGACCAACUUUUAUAAGUCUGUACCACUUAAUUAAUGCCAUGUGUGAAACUUUGAGUAUUUUAAAUUGUAAUUAUUGAAUUUUUGUAUAAGUAGC